rnacentral:rRNA from 1 species
UGACGAGUUUGAUCCUGGCUCAGGACGAACGCUUGCGGCGUGCCUAAGAAAUGCAAGUCGAACGGACAGUGGCUUCGGUUACUGUUAGUGGCGAACGGUCGCGUAACACGUAAGAAACCUGCCUUGAAGCGGGGGACAACAGUCCGAAAGGACUGCUAAUACCGCAUGUGGUCAACGAGAGGCAUCUCUCGUUGUCUAAAGAUUUAUCACUUCAAGAUGGUCUUGCGGCCUAUCAGCUAGUUGGUGGGGUAACGGCCUACCAAGGCGACGACGGGUAGCUGGUCUGAGAGGACGAUCAGCCGGAUUGGGACUGAGAUACGGCCCAGACUCCUACGGGGGCAGCAAUUAGGAAUCUUGCACAAUGGGGGAAACCCUGAUGCAGCGACGCCCGCGUGAAGGAUGAAGGUUCUCGGAUCGUAAACUUCUUUAAGUGGUAAGAAUUUGACGGUACACUUGAAUACGCCCGGCUAACUACGUGCCAGCAGCCGCGGUAAUCUGAUGGCGCG